GACGAACGCUGGCGGCAUGCCUAAUACAUGCAAGUCGAGCGAACAGAUGAAGUGCUUGCACUCCUGACGUUAGCGGCGAACGGGUGAGUAACACGUAAGGAAUCUACCUAUAAGCGGGGGAUAACAUUCGGAAACGGGUGCUAAUACCGCAUAAUAUCUUCUUCCGCAUGGAAGAAGACUGAAAGACGGCUCUGCUGUCGCUUAUAGAUGACCUUGCGGUGCAUUAGUUAGUUGGUGGGGUAACGGCCUACCAAGACGAUGAUGCAUAGCCGACCUGGGAGGGUGAUCGGCCACAUUGGGACUGAGACACGGCCCAAACUCCUACGGGAGGCAGCAGUAGGGAAUCUUCCGCAAUGGGCGAAAGCCUGACGGAGCAAUGCCGCGUGAGUGAAGAAGGCCUUCGGGUCGUAAAACUCUGUUAUAAGAGAAGAACAAAUUGUAGAGUAACUGCUACAGUCUUGACGGUAUCUUAUCAGAAAGCCACGGCUAACUACGUGCCAGCCGCCGCAGUAA
rnacentral:rRNA from 1 species